rnacentral:rRNA from 1 species
UACAGAGAUGGCAACCGUUGUUCGGAAUCACUGGGCUUAAAGCGCACGUAGGCGGGAUGGUAAGAUGGUUGUGAAAUACUCUGGCUUACCCAGGGAACUGCAAUCAUGACUGCCGUUCUGGAGUACGAGAGGGGAUAGUGGAACUCCUAGUGGAGCGGUGAAAUGCGUUGAUAUUAGGAGGAACGCCGGUGGCGAAAGCGACUAUCUGGUUCGAUACUGACGCUGAGGUGCGAAAGCUAGGGGAGCAAACGGG